rnacentral:rRNA from 1 species
UACGGAGGGUGCAAACGUUGCUCGGAAUCAUUGGGCGUAAAGCGCACGUAGGCGGACUGUUAAGUCAGAUGUGAAAUCCCUCAGCUUAACUGAGGAAGUGCAUUCGAAACUGGCAGUCUUGAGUAUGGAAGAGGGUCGCGGAAUUCCCGGUGUAGAGGUGAAAUUCGUAGAUAUCGGGAGGAACACCAGUGGCGAAGGCGGCGACCUGGGCCAAUACUGACGCUGAGGUGCGAAAGCGUGGGGAGCAAACAGG